rnacentral:rRNA from 1 species
GCUUGGCCCUUAACAUAGAUAGCAGAAACACAAUGCUAUCCGCCGGAGAAUUACCAGUGAAAAACUGAAAACUCCAAGGACUUGGCGGUACCCCACACCGACCUAGAGGAGCCUGUCCUAUAAUCGAUACCCCACGUUUAACCUUACCAUUUUUUGCAAUUCAGCCUAUAUACCGCCGUCGUCAGCCUACCUUAUGAAAGCCUUAAAGUAGGCAAAAUAGUUAUAAACUAACACGUCAGGUCAAGGUGUAGCAUACGAAAUGGAAGAGAUGGGCUACAUUUUCUUUGUUAGAAAAUACGUACAUUACAGUGAAAGCUGAAAUUGAAGGAGGAUUUAGCUGUAAGGCAGAUAAGAAACUCUGCCUAAACUACGCUCUGGGGUACGCACACACCGCCCGUCA